rnacentral:rRNA from 2 species
AAGGCUUCAGUACGACCCAGUCAGAACUAUAAGUCUCAAAGCCCCGACGAGUAGGGUGGCGUGCCGGUGAGCGUUGAAGGCCAAGACGUGAGUCAGGCUGGAGCCGCCGGUAGUGCAGAUCUUGGUGGUAGUAGCAAGUACUCUGGUGAACCAACCUGGAGCUGUGAGGUCUGGAUCAGGGUUCCAUGUCAACAGUGAUUGAACAUGGGUGAGUCGAUCCUAAGCCAACUGUGAAAGCAGUGACAUCCCGACAAAGGGGCAAUUCGUGUGGCUGCCACGCGCGCUUGUGUGCACAUUCGCAAGUCUCCUCUCUCGGCGCGCGCAUGCUCAAUUCUCGGUUAAAAACCACCGCGUUGGUUUGUAGACCAUCUGGGGCAUGGCGCGUAUCUCUGGUUGCGCUCGAAAGCGUUACGAAAUCGAGAGAGAAAACGAGGCAGUGCCGCGCUUGUGUGUGCGUUCGUUUUUCUCGAAGCUCCCUGCGUCUGGUUCUAUGUCUGGCGAAAGGGAAUGGGGACUUUGUUCCUUGACCGGUCCCGGCACCCUCGAUAGGCUUAUGCCAAUCAAUGGUCCAUGCAAAUGGAACCAGGCCACAGCCGCCGGCAGUCGCCCGAGGAAGAGUUUUCUUUUCUGCUUAACGCACGAGAUCAUCCCUGGAAACAGUUCGGCUGGCGAAAGGGUGCCCCGUUGCGGCAGAGCGCCACGACUGUCGUGCGCGUCUCGGUGUUCCUGCCGGUCCGUGAAGACGUGGUCGAGGGGAUUGCUCUUGUAUCAACGAAACGCCCGACAAGUUCGGGACGGACCGUACCCUAUAUCCGCAUCUGGUCUCCAAGGUUCGUAGCCUCUGCAGAGUCAGACACAUGUAGGUAAGGGAAGUCGGCAAACUCGAUCCGUAACUUCGGGAAAAGGAUUGGCUCUGAGGGCCGAGCUGGGCCGGGCCUUGCCUGCAAAGCAGUACCUAUAGUGACCGGAGUUUCAGGAGUGCGAGGGGCUCUAGUAGCUGCCUGCGCGUUCACGCGUGUGGGCACGAACGAGUCUACCGCUCCGCUCCAACCACGAACGGCUGUGACGGCAAGGGCUCUGGGCGGGAGCGUUCAAACCGUUGGCCCCCAGCUCGUCUGGGUGGCGGCGGUGCUCCGUCUGACCCAUACGGCUCCAGCGGCUAGCGGCUAACUCAGAACUGUCAUGGACCAAGGGAAUCCGACUGUCUAAUUAAAACAAAGCGUCGUGACGGCCCC